GAACGAACGCUGGCGGCAUGCCUAACACAUGCAAGUCGAACGAGACCUUCGGGUCUAGUGGCGCCCGGGUGCGUAACGCGUGGGAACCUGCCCUUAGGUUCGGAAUAACUCCCCGAAAGGGGUGCUAAUACCGGAUAAUGUCUUCGGACCAAAGAUUUAUCGCCUUUGGAUGGGCCCGCGUUGGAUUAGCUAGUUGGUAGGGUAAAAGCCUACCAAGGCGACGAUCCAUAGCUGGUCUGAGAGGAUGAUCAGCCACACUGGGACUGAGACACGGCCCAGACUCCUACGGGAGGCAGCAGUGGGGAAUAUUGGACAAUGGGCGAAAGCCUGAUCCAGCAAUGCCGCGUGAGUGAUGAAGGCCUUAGGGUUGUAAAGCUCUUUUACCCGGGAUGAUAAUGACAGUACCGGGAGAAUAAGCUCCGGCUAACUCCGUG
rnacentral:rRNA from 1 species